ACUGUUUCAAUCUCCUUGGAGGGGUGGCAGGGAACUUCCCCAAAAGUGACUGACAGACGGGCUGCUUGGAGCUCUGAGGGCCUCAAGGAGAGCGGAGGAGGGGCUGCCUUCAGCUGGGAAGGUGAGAGAAGAGCCUGAAGCAGAGGGGGGUCUCCACUACAGACUUUCCAGCUGCUGCUUGGGAACAACUGAUAAGCCAGGAAGGCAGCUGGAGCAUAGGCUGAGAAGCAAAGAGCAGGCUGUGCAAAGAGUUUCACUCUUGUUGCCCAGGCUGGAGUGCAAUGGCACAAUCUCAGCUCACUGCAGCCUCCACCUCCCAGGUUCAAGCAAUUCUCCUGCCUCAACCUCCUAAGUAGCUGGGAUUACAGGUACACCAUUCCCAGCUAAUUUUUUGUAUUUUUAGUAGAGACGGGGUUUAUACCAUGUUGGCCAGGCUGGUCUUGAACUCCUGACCUCAGGUGGUCCACCUGCCUUGGCCUCCCAAAGUGCUGGCACGAGUCACGGCAGUUGGGCUGAUUUCUAAUUCUAAAAGCCAUUUGUAGGUAAAUGAUUAAAGCUUUUUAAAAUCGGUUUUGUGUUUUUUUUUUUAAACAGAAGAAAAUGAAGCUUAUUAAAGUUGAAUGAGUCAUCCAAGGCCAUAUAGCUGGUUGGCAGCUGAACUGGGGUUUGAACCCAAGUUUUUCUUCCACACCAUGCAGCAUUUACUAUAUAGAAAAAUAGCUGAAUAAAUUUCUCUUGUUAUUUUAGCCAAAUUUCAUUUGUAAAAUCCCAGAAGUGGCCUACUAUUCUGAUAUGGCAAUAUGUAUCUUUCAUGAUCUGAAUAAACAACAGAGAAAAUCCACUGUAUUCUUAUGAGUUUGGAAAACAAAGUGUUAUCACAGAUAACACUAAGCUAUUCCUGUCCUCAGUUCCCGUGAUUUUGAACCUGUUAUUCAGAACAAGAAGCCCUGUGCUUCAAAUACAAGCCAGAACAUUCUAUUUAGUGCAAACACAAGAUCCAAAACUCCAUUUUAAAAAUGGAGUUUCUGUACAGUAAGAAAUGGAGUUUUCUGUACUGUAAGAAUCCAGCCUGCAUUUGUCAGUGGCAGAGAGACUAGUGAAGAGAGAGGUCCCUGAAGAGGUCA
rnacentral:lncRNA from 1 species